GCCUACGGGGCGCAGCAGUAGAGAAUCUUCCACAAUGGGCGAAAGCCUGAUGGAGCAACGCCGCGUGGGUGAAGAAGGUCUUCGGAUCGUAAAACCCUGUUGUUAGAGAAGAAAGUGCGUGAGAGUAACUGUUCACGUUUCGACGGUAUCUAACCAGAAAGCCACGGCUAACUACGUGCCAGCAGCCGCGGUAAUACGUAGGUGGCAAGCGUUAUCCGGAUUUAUUGGGCGUAAAGAGGACGCAGGCGGUCUUUUAAGUCUGAUGUGAAAGCCUUCGGCUUAACCGGAGUAGUGCAUUGGAAACU
rnacentral:rRNA from 1 species